CUAGCAAAGUGGACUGCC
rnacentral:siRNA from 1 species